UCGAGAAUCUUUGUCAAUGGACGAAAGUCUGAACAAGCGACGCCGCGUGCGGGAUGAAGGCCUUCGGGUUGUAAACCGCUUUCGGAGGGAAGGAAAUUUUGACUGAACCUCAAAAGAAGGACGGGCUAAGUUCGUGCCAGCAGCCGCGGUAAGACGAACCGUCCAAACGUUAUUCGGUAUCACUGGGCUUAAAGAGUCCGUAGGCGGCCAUGUAGGUCAGAUGUGAAAUCCCACAGCUCAACUGUGGAACUGCGUUUGAAACCACAUGGCUUGAGGGAGAUAGAGGUGAGCGGAACAGAUGGUGGAGCGGUGAAAUGCGUUGAUAUCAUCUGGAACACCGGUGGCGAAAGCGGCUCACUGGAUCUUUUCUGACGCUGAGGGACGAAAGCUAGGGUAGCGAACGGGAUUAGAUACCCCCGUAGUCC
rnacentral:rRNA from 1 species